UGUUGGUAAUAAGAUGUCUUGUUGCAGCUAUCCCCUCACUAUGUGGGAUACACGUGUACAAGGAGCUGACGUCAAUACUGGAAAGCAACAUAUCUGAUGGAACAACUUCAAUCUUAUUAAGCUGCAAAAGUAAAGCCGUGGUAUUCUUCAGGAUAUAUUGUGCAUUCUGGAUACAUGGCUGAAGUCCUCAAGAUCCUGGAUUACAAUCGAGCCGCCUUUAUCCGCGGCUCGAAUUACAGUGUGAGAGCGUGGUGAAUGGUGAGCACUUAAAUAGGUCCGGCAGUUUGGAACAUGAAUCAACAAAUGCCUCUGGUCAUCCUACUAAUGCCUCUGGCUACACAAAUGAAGAAUCAACCAUUGCCUAUGAAAGAGCUGCACCGAGAGAAUCUGGACUAUUGACUGAUGAGCCACAUACGUCAACAUUAAAAGCAAAAUUCCAUCUCCUAAUGUCCAUGUUUCUAAUCCAUUGACAGGUCACCCACAGAGACAAAACAAGGUUGAGAACCAUAAACAUUGAUAUCCAUACAACUAUUCUUAUGAUAUUACUGUUGUUUAAAAACAAACACAGCAGCAAAGCUGCAUUGAAAAGCAAAGUGUUGCAGCAUUGCAAUCAGCAGAUGAAGAUGAGACCUACUUCUUUGUAUAAGAUAUUCCAUGACCAUUUACUCAAGUGGAACAUUUCAUAAUGGAAACCGAGUGCUCCUUUUGCUCCUCUAGUUUAUCCAGUAUACAAAAUACAGUUAUUUCCACAACUCCAAACCAUCUUCCUUAUGGCCUCAAUUUUUUACACAGGGUGAAUGAAAUGAACCACCUUUAACUGACAAAAGCAACUAUGAAAAGCAAUUUAAGACAAAUCACUUUGUAGAUUAGUAAUUUAGUCCCAAUGUCAACCUUAAUCAUUUAACCAUGCUCUACGUUUGUUAAGAAAAAUUCAGGAAUUUUAGUAAACUCAAACAAAUAUGUUUAGUAACCACAGUUAUUCUAAAACCACCAGGGAAUACAACCAAGAUUGCUACCUUAUUGUGCUUUGUGAUUAUUGGUGGAAAUAAAAUUACGGAAUUUCCUUCUUCCUGGUUCAUGUCAUGUUCUAGCCAGUUAAGUGUAUAAACGGAUGUGAAAAUAAAAUUCAGCUGAACUAUAUUCCAAUUCCCUCAUUUUUACAAUGUUAGGCCCAUGGAUAAACAGCUCCAGGGAGAUUUCAGCAACGCUAUGUUCAAUUAAAACCUUACAUCACCAAGUUAUUACUAUCUGCUGUAAUUUGCAUCUUCAAAUAUGUUUUUUUUAAUGUUUACAUGCCCUGGCAAACACUGCAAUCUUUUGAAAUCUUGAA